rnacentral:rRNA from 1 species
AUGUACACAUUAGGCCUGCAUGUCUAGUAUAAGCCCUCGUACGGCGAAACUGCGAAUGGCUCAUUAAAACAGUUAUCGUUUAUUUGGUAAUCACUCACUACAUGGAUACCUGUAGCAAUUCUAGAGCUAAUACAUGCGUAAAGGCCCGACUUAUUGGGAAGGCUGCAUUUAUUAUAUACAAGAACCAGCCUGGAGUUCGCUCCGGAACCUUUGGUGAAUCAUAAUAACUAAGCGAAUCCCACAGGCUUGCCUGGCGAUAGAUCUUUCAAGUCUCUGACCUAUCAGCUAUCGACGGUAGGGUAUUGGCCUACCGUGGCUAUGACGGGUAACGGAGAAUUAGGGUUCGAUUCCGGAGAGGGAGCCUGACAAACGGCUACCACAUCUAAGGAUGGCACCAGGCGCGCAAAUUACCCAAUCCUGACACAGGGAGGUAGUGACAAGAAAUAACAAUGCAGGGCUUCACAGUCUUGCAAUUGGAAUGAGUACAUUUUAAAUCUCUC